rnacentral:misc_RNA from 1 species
AAAACCAAACAUUGCCCAUCUGUUCAACCACAAAAACAGGAAUCAUAAAGUCAAAAAUGUAACUACGACACUAUUCAUACACAGAGACUCAAUACACUAAGCAUUUUUUAAUCUAAAAAUGUACAAUUUCACAAAGCCAUUCCCAAGUAGCUAAGAGAGGAACAAUGCCAUAUGAGUUUAGUAUGCCAGGCGAUUGACCAUUAAAAAAUUUCAUAUUGUAGAAAUCCUCUGGUUUAUUUCAUGUCAGGUUCUUGUCUAUACAGUCCAACGUAGAAACAUUCAAUUCUCAUAUUUCAAGAAGCAAAUGUAUGUGCUGAGGUGCGUUUUCUUUUCUUUCAAGAGAUGAGUUUAUUGUUGUCCGUAACUGACUACUCGCUACCGAUUUGUAUAAACUUCAUAGAAGAUGAGGAGAAAAUUGGUGGGUUACAGGAAGCAGACAUUUUAUGUUUGAUGUUCCUAGAAUCCAUCUUAGUCUUUCAAAGGCACAACGAAAAUGAAUCUGAAUACUUCUAAUCAUCGACCCCAACAAUGGAUUUAAGCUAUUUAGGAGAUCCAUCACUGAUGAAAGUUACAAUGCAGAAAGGCAAUGCAACUUGAAAAAUUAAAAAAAAAAAAAACAAACUUGGCAAGCACCACCUCGCUAAUCCAGUCAAUAGGUUUCUUCUAGAGAACCAACUUAGCUGUUGAAUGCUAAGUAAAACAACGCAGCGUAAGUCAUGCAAAAGCCAAAUCAUGAUAAAAAGAAUUUGAAAAGAAAGAAGAGGGACAGAGUGAAGACAGAGGAAGAGUAGCAAAACCUUCCAAGGAGCUACAUCCUUCUUGUGAAACAGAGCACUAAUCAGAUUAAUACUAUUAAGAAAUUAAAGAAAAACAAUAAACUCGUCCUCUCUAGAUGCACCAGAUUUAGCCAAACAACAUGCGAAGGAGUUGGCCUCAUGCAUGGUACCCGCAGAAGACAUCUUAGGCAAGGGAGCUCCACACAAGUCUCGCAGAAUAAACCACACUUGUAAUAUUAUAAAAUCAACUCCACUCUUACAAAUACAGCUAAAUCUAGCAAACAAAUAUAGUAGUAAUUAUAUGAAUUUUCAUAUGAUAUACUCUUCACGUAUUACAACAACUAGACUCUUUACAUGCUAUAACAUCAAUUACACUCUUCACGCAUUAACUCUUCACACAUAAAUCUAUAUUCACUGAUAUUUAAAUUUUAUAUUUCCAACAAUAACAAGGGUUCAACAAAUAUUCUCUAAAGGUAGGGGUGGCAAAUGGGUAACGCGAAGUAGACUUGAAAUCAUGAAUCAUAUAGACAAAACAAAUUGGUCACCUCUAACUAAUUAAAAGUGAAAAAAAAUAAUGACAAUAAGAUGCUUUUCUUUCUUUUUAUAAAAAAAAAAUUCUAAUACGCCAGAAGUAUACAACAUUGCAGACUGCAAUUAAUAGCUUAUAUAAUUUAGCUCAAGCAACAAAAUAGAGUUUUCAUUUUUACCCAACAUAUGUUGAGAGAAACUUGGCACGUCCAUACUCUGCAAAC